CACGCUGGCGGCGUGCCUAAUACAUGCAAGUAGAACGCUGAAGAGAGGAGCUUGCUCUUCUUGGAUGAGUUGCGAACGGGUGAGUAACGCGUAGGUAACCUGCCUUGUAGCGGGGGAUAACUAUUGGAAACGAUAGCUAAUACCGCAUAACAAUGGAUGACACAUGUCAUUUAUUUGAAAGGGGCAAUUGCUCCACUACAAGAUGGACCUGCGUUGUAUUAGCUAGUAGGUGAGGUAAUGGCUCACCUAGGCGACGAUACAUAGCCGACCUGAGAGGGUGAUCGGCCACACUGGGACUGAGACACGGCCCAGACUCCUACGGGAGGCAGCAGUAGGGAAUCUUCGGCAAUGGGGGCAACCCUGACCGAGCAACACCGCGUGAGUGAAGAAGGUUUUCGGAUCGUAAAGCUCUGUUGUAAGUCAAGAACGGGUGUGAGAGUGGAAAGUUCACACUGUGACGGUAGCUUACCAGAAAGGGACGGCUAACUACGUG
rnacentral:rRNA from 1 species